UGGGGAAUAUUGCACAAUGGGCGCAAGCCUGAUGCAGCCAUGCCGCGUGUAUGAAGAAGGCCUUCGGGUUGUAAAGUACUUUCAGUCGGGAGGAAGGUGGUAAGGUUAAUAACCUUAUCAAUUGACGUUACCGACAGAAGAAGCACCGGCUAACUCCGUGCCAGCAGCCGCGGUAAUACGGAGGGUGCAAGCGUUAAUCGGAGUUACUGGGCGUAAAGCGCACGCAGGCGGUCUGUCAAGUCGGAUGUGAAAUCCCCGGGCUCAACCUGGGAACUGCAUUCGAAACUGGCAGGCUAGAGUCUUGUAGAGGGGGGUAGAAUUCCAGGUGUAGCGGUGAAAUGCGUAGAGAUCUGGAGGAAUACCGGUGGCGAAGGCGGCCCCCUGGACAAAGACUGACGCUCAGGUGCGAAAGCGUGGGGAGCAAACAGG
rnacentral:rRNA from 1 species